rnacentral:rRNA from 2 species
CGGGAAGAUAGCUUGCUAUCUUUGCCGGCGAGCGGCGGACGGGUGAGUAAUGCCUAGGGAUCUGCCCAGUCGAGGGGGAUAACAGUUGGAAACGACUGCUAAUACCGCAUACGCCCUACGGGGGAAAGGAGGGGACCUUCGGGCCUUCCGCGAUUGGAUGAACCUAGGUGGGAUUAGCUAGUUGGUGAGGUAAUGGCUCACCAAGGCGACGAUCCCUAGCUGUUCUGAGAGGAUGAUCAGCCACACUGGGACUGAGACACGGCCCAGACUCC